rnacentral:rRNA from 1 species
GGGCCCGCACAAGCGGAGGAGCAUGUGGUUUAAUUCGAUGAUACGCGAGGAACCUUACCCGGGCUUGAACGUAAGACGAAUAUAUAAGAGAUUAUAUAGCCUUCGGGCGUCUUGCGAGGUGCUGCAUGGUUGUCGUCAGCUCGUGCCGUGAGGUGUUAGGUUAAGUCCUGCAACGAGCGCAACCCUUACACUUAGUUGCCAGCACGUAAUGGUGGGGACUCUAAGUGAACUGCCUACGCAAGUAGAGAGGAAGGUGGGGAUGACGUCAAAUCAGCACGGCCCUUAUGUCCGGGGCUACACACGUGCUACAAUGGUAUGUACAGAGGGCAGCCACCUGGCGACAGGGAGCUAAUCCUCAAAGCAUAUCUCAGUUCGGAUUGGAGUCUGUAACUCGACUCUAUGAAGUUGGAUUCGCUAGUAAUCGCGCAUCAGCCAUGGCGCGGUGAAUACGUUCCCGGGCCUU